rnacentral:lncRNA from 1 species
CUGUGAUGGGGCCCCUCAAGAGCCUUCCUGUAACCUCGAGUGACCCCAGGAUAGGAAAAGUAAGCACACAAGAAAGAUAUUAUGAAGUCACUCUGGAUUCUGCAGCCUCCAGACUUAGAACCCUAGGUGGCUGUGAACUUGUGAUCUUCCUGCCUCAGUUUUCCAAGUGCUGGGAUUACAGGUAUGUGUCACCACACCCAGGUCAUUGGCACAUCUUUUAAGUGGAGAACAAUUUUUCCCUUUCCUGGCAGCCUUUAGACUUUUUACCCAUCCCCCGUUACAUUUACGUUUUUUUGUGUGUGUAUGAAUGUAUUAAGUGUUAUCGUGUUCUUUGAAAGCUAGACACAGACACUUACUCAUAGAUUGACACAUAGCCAUGGACUAGCUGUGUGCACAGAUGUGACCUGCAGUGUAAAUGAAAAUAAGAACAUUGAUUUACAAAGACUUUUCUCCUGUAGAUUCAGGGACCGAAUGGAAACAUUAACAUUUUCUUGUUUUGUCAACAGAAAUGAAAAUGGCUGGCUCUGAUUGUUAUGCUCCAGCAGCAUCACGUGAUAUUGAUACCCCUCCUCCCCCCAUGGCUACUCCUGUGUUGUACAAACAGAGUCUAGUGAUGUCUCCUUUCUCUCUAGAAGCAGGGAAUUAGAAAUCUUUUAAGCGUAGGGGGAAAUACAGACAUAGGAAGAAAAGUUCCCAGGCACCGGGACUCUCCAGGGAGCACAGACCAUUGCAUGAAACGGAUCUGUGGGAAAUGUGAUGACCUCAGCCCUGUCCCUUGACCACAAACUGAGGAGCAAACCCCACCUUGAGGCACAUGGUCUGGCUUCUCCCUGUUUGUACUGGCUGGUUUGUGUGUCCACUUGAUACAAGUUAGAGUCACCAGAGAGGAAGAAGCCUCAGUUGAGGAAAUGCCUCCAUGAGAUCCAGCUGUAAGGCAUUUUCUCAAUUAGUGAUCAAGGAGGGAGGGCUCAGCUCAAGGUAGGUGGUGCUGUCCCUGAGCUGGUGGUCCUGGGUUCUAUAAGAAGGCUGGCUAAGCAAGCCAGGGGAAGCAAGCAAGGAAGCAACACCCCUCCAUGGUCUCUGUUUCAGCUCCUGCCUCUAGGUUCCUGCCCUGUUUGAGUUCCUGUCCUGACUUCCUUUGGCGAUGAACAGCAAUGUGGAAGUGUAAUCUGAAUAAACCCUUUCCUCCCCAG